GACGAACGCUGGCGGCGUGCUUAACACAUGCAAGUCGAACGGAAAGGCCCUGCUUGCGGGUUUCUCGAGUGGCGAACGGGUGAGUAACACGUGGGUGAUCUGCCCUGCACUUCGGGAUAGGCCUGGGCAACUGGGUCUAAUACCGGAUAGGAGCUAUUUUUAGUGUGAUGGUUGGAAAGUUUUGUCGGUGUAGGAUGAGCUUGCGGCCUAUCAGCUUGUUGGGGGAGUAAUGUCGUACCAAGGCGGCGUCGGGUAGCCGCCCUGAGGGGGUGGCCGGCCACACUGGGACUGAGAGGCGGCCCAGACACGGACUGGAGGCAGAUGUGGGGAAGAUUGCACAAGGGGCGCAAGCCGGGUGCAGAGGCGCCGCGGGUGGGAUGACGCCCUUCUUAGGGUAAACCACUUUCGCAAGUGACUGAGCUUUUUGUGACGGUACCUAGAUAAGAAGCACCGGCUAACUACGUG
rnacentral:rRNA from 1 species